rnacentral:rRNA from 1 species
GACGUAGGGUGCGAGCGUUGUCCGGAUUUAUUGGGCGUAAAGGGCGCGUAGGCGGUGCGGUAAGUCACCUGUGAAAUCUCCUGGCUCAACUGGGAGUCUGCAGGCGAAACUGCCGUGCUGGAGUCCGGAAGAGGAGUGUGGAAUUCCUGGUGUAGCGGUGAAAUGCGCAGAUAUCAGGAGGAACACCAAUGCGAAGGCAGCACUCUGGGACGUGACUGACGCUGAGACGCGAAAGCGUGGGGAGCAAACAGG